GAUGAACGCUAGCUACAGGCUUAACACAUGCAAGUCGAGGGGCAGCAUGAAAGGAACUUCGGUUCUUUUUGAUGGCGACCGGCGCACGGGUGCGUAACGCGUAUCGAACCUGCCUCAUACUCGGGGAUAGCCUUGCGAAAGUAAGAUUAAUACCCGGCGGUCUCGGACGGCCGCAUGACAGUCCGAGUGAAGAUUUAUCGGUAUGAGAUGGCGAUGCGUCCCAUUAGCUUGUUGGUGAGGUAAUGGCUCACCAAGCCUUCGAUGGAUAGGGGUUCUGAGAGGAAGGUCCCCCACAUUGGAACUGAGACACGGCCCAG
rnacentral:rRNA from 1 species